rnacentral:ncRNA from 1 species
AGCUGGAAUCGCUAGUAAUCGCGAAUCAGAAUGUCGCGGUGAAUACGUUCCCGGGUCUUGUACACACCGCCCGUCACACCAUGGGAGUCAACAACGCCCGAAGUCAGUGACCCAACCUUAUAGGAGGGAGCUGCCGAAGGCGGGGUGGAUAACUGGGGUGAAGUCGUAACAAGGUAGCCGUAUCGGAAGGUGCGGCUGGAUCACCUCCUUU